GGAGAGAGUGGGAAUGAUUGAAUAGCCAUUUGAUAUAAGCCAGAGACUUAAUGUUUUGUUUUCUGUUUUGUAGGUUGAGAGAUAAGAAGCAUAAGAAAAAGAACUUGUGCAUAAGAAAAAGAACACUUCAUAAGAAGAAGCAUAAGAAAAAGAACUUGUGUCCACAGCACAACAAUUAAACCAAGAUGUACCCUGAUGAGGCCUCUCUCGAGGCUCGAAUUCAAGGAAAAAGCCACGUCUCAGCUGCAUCAAGUGAUGAAUAUCAAGUGAAAUAGCCUAUCUUCCCUAAAUGCUUACUUGGAGUCAGUAAUGGGCUGGAUGAGGAAAAACAAACUGAGGUUGAAUACAAGGAAGAUGACUGGAAGAUAGGAAGUGGCUUAGAUCUGUCAGUUCUGGAAGGGGUUACACUCCCCCAGAAAGAGUAGGUAUGUAGUCUGGGAGUACUUCUGGACGCAAACCUCUCCCUGGUCUCUCAAGCUAAGGAAGUGAGCAGGAUGGCUUUCUAUCAGGUGCAGCUGAUAUGCCAGCAACAUCCAUAUCUGGAAAUCAAUGACCU